UACGGGAGGCAGCAGUGGGGAAUAUUGCACAAUGGGCGCAAGCCUGAUGCAGCCAUGCCGCGUGUAUGAAGAAGGCCUUCGGGUUGUAAAGUACUUUCAGUCGUGAGGAAGGUGUUAAGGUUAAUAACCUUAGCAAUUGACGUUAGCGACAGAAGAAGCACCGGCUAACUCCGUGCCAGCAGCCGCGGUAAUACGGAGGGUGCGAGCGUUAAUCGGAAUUACUGGGCGUAAAAGGCACGCAGGCGGUUAAUUAAGUUGGAUGUGAAAUCCCCGGGCUUAACCUGGGAAUGGCAUUCAAGACUGGUUAGCUAGAGUCUUGUAGAGGGGGUAGAAUUCCAUGUGUAGCGGUGAAAUGCGUAGAGAUGUGGAGGAAUACCGGUGGCGAAGGCGGCCCCUGGACAAAGACUGACGCUCAUGUGCGAAAGCGUGGGGAGCAAAC
rnacentral:rRNA from 1 species